UUAAGUUCAGCGGGUAUCCCUACCUGAUCCGAGGUCAACCUUUGGGGGUCUUCGCGGCCGCCACGACACCGAGCCCAUGGAGCGAGGUUUCUGCUGCGCUCAAAGCCGGUACCGCACCGCCGAUAGUUUUGGGGAGCGUCCACACACGGAGGCGGGACGGCUCCCAAUACCAAGCCGGGCUUGAUUGGUGAAAUGACGCU
rnacentral:misc_RNA from 1 species